rnacentral:rRNA from 1 species
UACGUAGGGUGCAAGCGUUAAUCGGAAUUACUGGGCGUAAAGCGUGCGCAGGCGGUUUUGUAAGUAUGACGUGAAAUCCCCGGGCUCAACCUGGGAAUUGCGUUGGAGACUGCAAGGCUAGAAUCUGGCAGAGGGGGGUAGAAUUCCACGUGUAGCGGUGAAAUGCGUAGAGAUGUGGAGGAACACCGAUGGCGAAGGCAGCCCCCUGGGUCAAGAUUGACGCUCAUGCACGAAAGCGUGGGGAGCAAACAGG